AUUGAACGCUGGCGGCAGGCCUAACACAUGCAAGUCGAACGAGUGGCGGACGGGUGAGUAAUGUCUGGGCAACUGCCUGAUGGAGGGGGAUAACUACUGGAAACGGUAGAUAAUACCGCAUACCAUCGGAUGUGCCCAGAUGGGAGUAGCUAGUAGGUGGGGUAACGGCUCACCUAGGCGACGAUCCCUAGCUGGGCUGAGAGGAUGACCAGCCACACUGGAACGUAGCCGCGGUCCAGACUCCUACGGUAGGCAGCAGUGGGGAAUGUUGCACAAUGGGCGCAAGCCUGAUGCAGCCAUGCCGCGUGUAUGAAGAAGGCCUUCUGGUUGUAAAGUACUUUCAGCGGGGAGGCGUUACCCGCAGAAGAAGAACCGGCUAACUCCGUGCCAGCAGCCGCGGUAAUUC
rnacentral:rRNA from 1 species